UAUAAAUUAUAUUCGCCCAGAUUGCGACCCGUAAGAGUGUCGCGUUCCGGAGGCAAAUGUUUCAGAAGUAAACGCCGAAACAGCUGAACGGAUUUUGAUGAAAUUUGGCACACAGGUGCAAUAAGUUAACAAAGUCUGCGCGGUGCUUUAAGAACAGAUAGCAAGCGUGUGAUAAUAAAAAACAAAACUGCUUUAAAUAUUUUGUAAUUCCGAACAACAAGAACGAACACUAAAUAAUUUCCAAUUAAAAUUAAAAAAUAAAACUACUAUAAA